CAACAGCUCCCCCUCGCCCAAGGAAGACAUCAAGCCCCGCCCCUUAAUAUGGCGUCUUAUUCACGUCAUCGUACCGAUGCGGACGUCGUGCAAGGAAAGAAAUGCAAAUGGUUAUUAAGGAAUUAAUACCAAGAAAAGUGAAGACAUAACACAUCACCAAACUGUUGUCACUGAGUUCAAUAUACCAUGUGGAAAGAAACUACAUUCUAGGAUGUUGAAAUAACUGGAAGAUGUGAAUGUUUAUCUGCUUUCUUCAUAAAAUCAUCGAAUAUAGUGAAGACUGGAGAUAUAUAGCAAAACUGAAGAAGGAAAAUAUUCUGAUUUUGUGAAAAGAAAGGGAUAUAAAUAGUUGGACACAUCAGAAACAACUAACAAAAACAAAAAACUAUGAACUAGUAUGUUUGACUCCAAUUUAAGUGUAUAUUAUCAAGAAUAUGAUUUAUGAGCAUUUAGAAAAGGAGGUAAUGAUCAAUAAUAAUCUUCAUAGUUUUCUCCAAAGCAAGUAACCUCAUUUUUUGACAAGGGAGAAAAAAACUCUAUUAUAAUGGAUUGAAGCCAUUGGGAUUGCAGUCCUGUUUGAAAAGAUAAUGUACCAUGGAAGAGAAAAAAUUUUAAAAAUUGAGACAUAUUCCUUCUUUGAACUGCCUCUUGAAUUUCAAAAACUAAAUAUGUUUUACUUCAUUUGAUUUUCAUGACAGCCCACUGAAGAACGUUCUUUCAUAAGGAAGCGAAAGGAGUGGCAUCCAUCCUAGCUACAUGCUACAAUAUCCUUGGACAUCAUUUUCAUCUUAAGGCUUGGUAAAUCUCAUUCUGUUGAUAGUUGAAUGAACGACUUAUAAGUGUCUCAUUUAAUUCCAGCACAAAAUUUAAAUGAACAGUGACUUGCUCUCUGUCAUACUCAUCCAUUAUAUAUUCUAUGUAAUUAAAAAAAUCUGGAAAAACAAGACACCAAAAAUCUCAACUCGAAGACAAUACUAAAAAAAAAAAAAAUUAAAUGAUUAAUAAAAUUGAAAGCAAAACACUAGUGAAUUAAUA